rnacentral:lncRNA from 1 species
AUGAACUUCCAGAUGUUCAAGCUGAUUUUAGGAAAGGCAGAGGAACCAGAGAUCAAAUUGCCAACAUCCGCUGGAUCAUCGAUAAAACAAAGGAGUUCCAGAAAAACAUCUAUUUCUGCUUUAUUGACUAUGCCAAAGCCUUUGACUGUGUGGAUCACAAUAAACUGUGGAAGAUUCGGAAAGAGAUGGGAAUACCUCUUGAGAAACCUAUAUGCAGGUCAGGAAGCAACAGUUAGAACUGGACAUGGAACAAUAGACUGGUUCCAAAUAGGAAAAGGAGUACGUCAAGGCUGUAUAUUGUCACCUUGCCUAUUUAACUUAUAUGCAGAGUACAUCAUGAGAAACGCUGGUCUGGAAGAAGCUCAAACUGGAAUCAAGACUGCCAGGAGAAAUAUCAAUAACCUCAGAUAUGCAAAUGACACCACCCUUAUGGCAGAAAGUGAGGAAGAACUAAAGAGCCUCUUGAUGAAAGUGAAAGAGGAGAGUGAAAAAGUUGGCUUAAAGCUCAACAUUCAGAAAACGAAGAUCAUGGCAUCUGGUCCCAUCACUUCAUGGGAAAUAGAUGGAGAAACAGUGGGAAAAGUGUCAGACUUUAUUUUGGGGGGCUCCAAAAUCACAGCAGAUGGUGAUUGUAGCCAUGAAAUUAAAAGAUGCUUACUCCUUGGAAGGAAAGUGAUGACCAACCUAGACAGUAUAUUGAAAAGCAGAGAUAUUACUUUGCCAACAAAGGCCCGUCUAGUCAAGGCUAUGGUUUUUCCAGUGGUCAUGUAUGGAUGUGAAAGUCGGACUGUGAAGAAAGCUGAGCACCGAAGAAUUGAUGCUUUUGAACUGUGCUGUUGGAUAAGACUCUUGAGAGUCCUUUGGACUACAAGGAGAUCCAACCAGUCAAUUCUGAAGGAGAUCAGUCCUGGGUGUUCAUUGGAAGGACUGAUGCUGAAGCUGAAACUCCAGUACUUUGGCCACUUCAUGCGAAGGGUUGACUCAUUGGAAAAGACCCUGAUGCUGCGAGGAACUGGGGGCAGGAGUAAAAGGGGACGACAGAGGAUGAUAUGGCUGGAUGGUAUCACCGACUCAAUGGACAUGAGUUUGAGUGAACUCCGGGAGUUGGUGAUGGACAAGGAGGCCUGGUGUGCUGUGGUACAUGGGGUCGCAAAGAGUCGGACAUGA